rnacentral:rRNA from 1 species
GACGAACGCUGGCGGCAUGCCUAAUACAUGCAAGUCGAGCGAACAGAUGGAGUGCUUGCACUUCUGACGUUAGCGGCGAACGGGUGAGUAACACGUAAGGAAUCUACCUAUAAGCGGGGGAUAACAUUCGGAAACGGGUGCUAAUACCGCAUAUUAUCUUCUUCCGCAUGGAAGAAGAUUGAAAGAUGGCUCUGCUGUCACUUAUAGAUGACCUUGCGGUGCAUUAGUUAGUUGGUGGGGUAACGGCCUACCAAGACGAUGAUGCAUAGCCGACCUGAGAGGGUGAGCGGCCACAUUGGGACUGAGACACGGACCAAACUCCUACGGGAGGCAGCAGUAGGGAAUCUUCCGCAAUGGGCGAAAGCCUGACGGAGCAAUGCCGCGUGAGUGAAGAAGGCCUUCGGGUCGUAAAACUCUGUUAUAAGAGAAGAACAAAUUGUAGAGUAACUGCUACAGUCUUGACGGUAUCUUAUCAGAAAGCCACGGCUAACUACGUGCCAGCCGCCGCCGUAA